CGUAAAAUCUACCAAGUGAUCUUUGAGAGCAAAAAAGAGAUCGCCCCAUUCGGGCUAAUGUAUAAUCUAGCCAUGUUUGGCUAAAGGAGUUGUAACCUCCUUCUGUCCAAAGGAAGGAGUUAGAAGUUCAAUAAGAUGUGAAAAUCUUUGCGAACAGAUCUUGUUUAAGCGAGGAGAAGUUGAUUAUUGGGCUGAAGAUGAAAAGAUUUGGGAUUAAGAGCAAGAUGAAUGGCUAAGGUGGUGUCAUCUUCAACCUGGCGAGCUUCAGUGGUUGGUGGAGCAGUUAGAGGUGAUUGUGGAUGGAUAGAAUAAGAAAGAAGAAAAAAGGGGACAGCAGCGAUCAUUCGAGAGGCUUCCAUUCGAAUUCAUCGUUCUCUCUUCUAUCUUCGAUUUAUUGACCCCUAAACAGAAUGAAGAUUCUAUUAUUCUCGAAAAGAAAAUUUGCUUGGGUUGCGUUUUUCUCAACUCAUUCAGCGUAAGUAGCUCCACAACUAAAGCGCAUUGCUUUCCAUGAUAUAACAAGGUACAUCUCUCUCACCUUUGAUUUUAUGGCCAGGUAUAUGUGCAAUCUUUCAAGGUAUUCUGCAGUUUUUCAACUAAAUGUUCAAAUGUGAAAUGCAUUUUCUACAAUAUUUAACCUACUGAUUGUCAACGGCGGCUAUAGUUUGAACUCGCGAAUGUGAAGGUUGAACUAUAUGUCACCUUUUAGGAAAUGGUGCAUAUCUUGUCAUUGCAUGUUUGUUCUUUGCUUGGAUUUUUUUUUGCUUAUGAAAAAUCAGCAGGUUUAGUUGCCAGACAUGUAACUUUCAGGGUUUCCAUUGGGUUUUAGCAUGAACCACCAAACUUUUUUUCAAGAUGUCACGUGCAUUGGUUUAUAACUUUAUAUUUAACCUCUUAUGUACCUUAUAUAUUUGUUAGCAAUGAUAGUAAGAGAUUUGGAUUAGAAAUUCGUAUCGAGAAUAAAGAUAUCAUAUAUGAACAAAUACAAAUGAUUGGAAGUUAGUGUGAUCCAAAAAUCCUGUAACUAUCCAUCUUGAUUUGUAAGGUUUACAGAACCAAAAGAAUCCCAAGGUAGUACCAAACAGCAAAUACUAUUCUCUCAUUUGGUUGAAAAACUGAUCAGGGUAAAGGUGCCUAGAGUAAUCCAGAGCCCUAACCAGAAUAUGAUAACCACAUUAAUGAGACCUAAAGAAACUUGACUAUGGAUCCUAGACCUAGACCAUACGUGUGUUUGAAUUAUAAUUUUGGAGUUGACUAUAAGCUUCUUUAUUUAGUUUAAGCUAUUGAUUAGUUAGCAUGAAAUGAAACGAACAAUCCUUAAAACUGAUCAAGAAUACUCCAAAAAGCAGAUGACGAAGGAAAGAGAGAGAGAGUCCAUGAAUUCUCCCAUCUAACUUUACGAGGUGGUCAUUUGUGUGUAUGUGUGUGAGUGUGUGUGUGUGUGUGUGAUAAAAAGGGAGUAGGCCAAGGAAAGAAUACAUAAUCGACACGAAACGUUGUUGAAUAAAUGAGAUGAACAAUCACCGGCAUGAUAUUUAAAGGUAUGAUACAACAUACAAAAGGCUGUCAUCUAACGUAGUGAUUUUUGAUAUAUACGUGGAAGAAUUUCUACGAACUCCCCAUUUAAUUAUACAAUCAUGAAAACAAUUCACUUGAGCUUCUCAACUCCAUUUUAUUGGGUUCUUCCUCAUACUUUCAAGUACCACUUUUUAGGAACGCAGCUAACAAAAGCUUCAUUCACCUGGUUAAGGGGUUGGACUAAAGACCUGGAGAUUGAAGAAGGUCAGGAGUUCAAUACCGCCAUCGAGUUUUUUGCACUAUCCCAGCUUUUUCCAUCGAAACUGUCAAAAGAGAAAAGGAAAACUUUAGCAGGACCCAGGAGGUGGUUUGACGGACAUGGCAUGUGCCAAAUUGUCUUCUCCAAGGGGACACAAGGCCAGGUGAGAAAUAAGAUCAUCAUUGAAAAUGGGCAGACAUGGAUUCCACCAUCAGUUCGUGCACUCCUGCUCAAGUAGAAGUUGAAAAGAGUAAAUCUCAAGAUAUGACCAAAACAAAUUGAGUGAAGAGAGAUAAUGCCAUAAGAUUUGUAAUGCUUGCUAGCAUCUCUGUUGGAAUUGAUUUCUCAAACACAUGCAAUCCCAUUAGCAGCAAGACUCAUGUCAAGUCCAGGGGAACAACUUGCAGCAGUGUCAUUGUUGCUAGAGCUAUCAAAAAACUGUUUAUCUUUAUGUGAGAAAAUUGGCUCUAGACCUCCUGCCAUUCUACUUUUUAUUACAAUAAAAUACUAUACUACUGAUUCAAUGGUAGCUGAAAAAGCAAACAUGACCCUAAACAACUUGGUGAAGUGUCCAAAAAAUAUCAAGAUCAUGGCAGAAAAUGAACUUUUGGAACCUCUUCUGAGCAACCUCAUUGAAGUCCGGGGUCUGGCAAUGUCAUUAGAUGCAGAAGAAGUGCUUGGAGAGAGUGACAACCUAUCAGAUUCUGGGAUGUUUUGUUUUUGCACUACGCUCUCAUUCACCAGCACCUCCAUGAAGGCUAGCUUGCCCAGAGCUGCCGAAACUCUUGCUUCAGAUAUAUGAACCUGUUUGGGUUGAAGCUCAAUAAAUUUGAAGACAGAUAAAAGCAAAAAACUAAAACUUGGAUAUAAAGUAUACUGAACCUGCUUAUGGGCUUCUGCAAGAUCUUCCUGCAGCUCUGCAACCUCUUUCUUCACUGUGCCAAUUGACUUGUAUUCAUGUGCCAAAGGAUUGAGAACAUCCACUACCUUCAAUUUAGAAACUACGUGAACCUGCUUAUGGGCUUCUGCAAGAUCUUCCUGCAGCUCUGCAACCUCUUUCUUCACUGUGCCAAUUGACUUGUACUCAUGUGCCAAAGGAUUGAGAACAUCCACUACCUUCAAUUUAGAAACUACGAUCAGAUGCUUCAAUUAGAUGAUAAGCUUAUUUAGAAGCAUCUAUGCUCAUGAUCUUUAAAAGAAAGCACGCAAUUUUUCAUUUCAUAAAAAUCAUGUAUCCAAGUUGUUAUCUUUC